GUGGGUGGCAAGCGUUGUCCGGAAUUAUUGGGCGUAAAGCGCGCGCAGGCGGUUCUUUAAGUCUGAUGUGAAAGCCCACGGCUCAACCGUGGAGGGUCAUUGGAAACUGGAGAACUUGAGUACAGAAGAGGAAAGCGGAAUUCCACGUGUAGCGGCGAAAUGCGUAGAGAUGUGGAGGAACACCAGUGGCGAAGGCGGCUUUCUGGUCUGUAACUGACGCUGAGGCGCGAAAGCGUGGGGAGCAAACAGGAUUAGAUACCCUGGUAGUCCACGCCGUAAACGAUGAGUGCUAAGUGUUAGGGGGUUUCCGCCCCCCUUAGUGCUGCAGCUAACGCAUUAAGCACUCCGCCUGGGAGUACGGCCGCAAGGCUG
rnacentral:rRNA from 1 species